rnacentral:rRNA from 1 species
CCUACGGGUGGCUGCAGUGAGGAAUAUUGGUCAAUGGGCGAGAGCCUGAACCAGCCAAGUCGCGUGAGGGAGUACUGCCCUAUGGGUUGUAAACCUCUUUUGUCGGGGAGCAAAAGCCGGACGUGUCCGGCUGUGAGAGUACCCGAAGAAAAAGCACCGGCUAACUCCGUGCCAGCAGCCGCGGUAAUACGGAGGAUGCGAGCGUUUUCCGGUUUUAUGGGGGUUAAAGGGUGCGCAGGCGGGUUUUUAAGUCAGGGUUAAAAUGGUGGGGCUCAACACCAUCCGGCGGUUGAAACUGGGGAUCGAGAGGGGGCGAGAGGUAGGCGGAAUGCGUGGUGGAGCGGUGAAAUGCAUAGAUAUCACGAAGAACCGAGAUUGCGAAGGCAGCAUACCGGGGCACUACUGACGCUGAGGCACGAAAGCGGGGGGAUCGAACAGGAUUAGAGACCCCGGUAGUC